rnacentral:rRNA from 1 species
AUUGAACGCUGGCGGCAGGCCUAAAACAUGAAAGUCGAGCGGAGCGGCGGACGGGUGAGUAAGGCCAAGGAAUCGGCCUGGUAGUGGGGGAUGAGGUACGGAAACGGGAGCGAAUACCGCAUACUAUCAGAUGAGGCUAGGUCGGAUUUGCUAGUUGGUGGGGUAAAGGCCUACCAAGGCGACGAUCCGUAACUGGUCUGAGAGGAUGAUCAGCCACACUGGAACUGAGACACGGUCCAGACUCCUACGGGAGGCAGCAGUGGGGAAUAUUGGACAAUGGGCGAAAGCCUGAUCCAGCCAUGCCGCGUGUGUGAAGAAGGUCUUCGGAUUGUAAAGCACUUUCAGUUGGGAGGCGUUACCAACAGAAUACGCACCGGCUAACUUCGUGCCAGCCGCCGCGGUAAUAC